UCCUAGCCCUCCAUGUUCUGUGACUUUGGU
rnacentral:piRNA from 1 species